rnacentral:rRNA from 1 species
UUGGUGUUACUGCGAAGGGGGGACGGAGAAGGCUAUGUCAGCCGGGCGACGGUUGUCCCGGUUUAAGCAUGUAGGCGGAGGUUCCAGGUAAAUCCGGUACCUUUUAACGCUGAGGUGUGAUGACGAGGCACUACGGUGCUGAAGUGAUAAAUGCCCUGCUUCCAGGAAAAGCCUCUAAGCAUCAGGUAACACGAAAUCGUACCCCAAACCGACACAGGUGGUCAGGUAGAGAAUACCAAGGCGCUUGAGAGAACUCGGGUGAAGGAACUAGGCAAAAUGGUGCCGUAACUUCGGGAGAAGGCACGCUGAUGUGUAGGUGAAGCCCCUGCGGGUGGAGCUGAAAUCAGUCGAAGAUACCAGCUGGCUGCAACUGUUUAUUAAAAACACAGCACUGUGCAAACACGAAAGUGGACGUAUACGGUGUGACGCCUGCCCG